rnacentral:rRNA from 1 species
CGCCUCUUGAUAAAAUAUAAGAGGUCCAGCCUGCCCAGUGACAUAGUUAAACGGCCGCGGUACCCUGACCGUGCGAAGGUAGCAUAAUCACUUGUUCUUUAAAUGGGGACUCGUAUCAACGGCAUCACGAGGGCUUUACUGUCUCCUUUCUCCAAUCAGUGAAACUGAUCUCCCCGUGAAGAAGCGGGGAUGACAAUAUAAGACGAGAAGACCCCAUGGAGCUUUAAACCCAACGACACCCCUCAACCCCCCAACCCAUUAUAGUUGCUACAGCCCUGUUCGUUGGUUUUAGGUUGGGGUGACCGCGGAGUAUAAAUUACCCUCCACGACGAAUGGGACUACCCCCUUACCCAAGAGCUACUCCUCUAAGGAUCAACAGAUUGACGUAAAAUGAUCCAAGCAUUUGAUCAACGGACCAAGUUACCCUGGGGAUAACAGCGCAAUCCAUUUCAAGAGCUCCUAUCGACAAAUGGGUUUACGACCUCGAUGUUGGAUCAGGGUACCCAAGUGGU